AUCUCUCAGCCCAAUAUUCUUCUAGGGAUCGGUGGUGGAGCAAGAAAGGGGCUCAAUUCUCCUAUAAAUACCACCCCUAUCCUACACCCUUUUCUAACCUUCACCUACUUCUUCUUCCUCUCUCUCUCUCUCUCUCUCUCUUUAGCUUUUAGGGUUUUGAUGGGUGUCCAGUGAAUGGUCCUCUUUGUAUUCUUCCACAGCUUUCUUGAACUGCAUAUAUUAAAUUGGGAUCUUUCUGAAGCAAGUGUACACUCUCGCACUCUUUCAACAAGUCCUUGUUUCAAUUGCGGUUCAAGCUAGCUGUGGGAAGAUACAAACAGGGCCAGGCGAAAAUUCUCCAUCCGAAUCGCCUCCCGUGUGUGUGGAUCGUUGCCGUAUUCUUGAGUCAAAUCUGGACUCUGGCCUCGCGCAUCGUCAUUGCCUUUGCGAUUGAACGUGGUUUUCACCGGAGAGGGAAUUUUCUUGUACCCUUUCAUUUUCUUCUGUAUUUCUCUAGUAUACAAGUCUGUAAUAUUCUUGAUGAUGUUCACCUGCACAUGUUUGCAGAGCCGCGCAUUUCUCUCGGUUUGCUUUCCCAGGUAUGUAACAACGAAGUGAGUCCCACGAGCCAUGUCUGAUUUGGGUGCUAAGAAAAUGUGCAUUCGAUGAAGAGGUUAGACGGAUUGCUUGUUCAUAUGUGCGCGUCAUCCGUUACAUUGCUGAAUGUCACGAGAACAAAGCUAAGCUAUAUCUUUGCUUUUUGGUGGAUUAUCGUAAUUCAAUUGCAAGGAAUCUCUCUUACUUUGAUCUAAAUUGAGCCGUCCCGCUCAAUCAAACUUGUUGAGGGUUUUGGGGCAAUUUAUCUCGAGGGUAACUGGGUGGAUGAAAUCUUGAUUAUGAAACAAGAAACCAGAAAUAUAGAUGAACCAACUUGCAAAAAAAUGGCCUUUCUUUCGGGACCCCAUGAAACCCCCAUGAAAAAUAAAGUCUGAUGCAAAAAGGAAAUUAGGGUUUCCUUUUGUACAUGAGGUUAAAGACAAGAGAGGCAAGAAAGGUCCCCCUCUAUAUAUGACUUUGCAAAUAACAAAAAAAGCAAAAAAUUGUUUUGUCUUGGUUAGAACUGAUGUGUCUAUGAUAAGAUUCUCAUGUUCUUGCCGGCCUCUCCUGUUGAGGAAGUGAAGAUCAAAGUUUCUUUAAUAUGAGGUUCUUCUUUCCAAAAUCAAAACCCUAAGCCAGAUGAAAACUAUCAUUAACUUCCAAUGCAAAUUGUUGCAUUUUGAAAUUUAGAUCAGAUCUAACGAAGGGUCCGGCGAAUUAUCGUGUGUGGAUCUUUUUAAUAAUUCCUUAGCGGAAUUGAUUAUUCGAGAAUCGAGACCGCAAGUAUAAUAUGAUUUGGCUAGUUCAAUAGUAGACACACUUUGCUUUGCUUUACUUGUUUAUUAUGGCUUAAUAUUGCUGGAAUCGCUCAUCUUUUUGUAAAUUGCGUUAUUCUUUUCACUCAUCCAAGAUGAUCGAUUGACUUUACUUUAUUUCUCCUAUUGGUGCUCCCUCUUUCUAUAUCAAAAUAUAUUGUUCUUUUGCUGCUCCCUCUUUUGCUGAUUCGGUCGGCAAAAGUGACAAUAAAGAAGUAAUUUGCGAGGUUGAAUAUGAAUAGAUUUAACAAUGCGUAGUUGUUUGUUAACUAUAGUAUAUGUCCUUUGCUCAAUGUUCAAUUUAUGAACUUUUCAAAAGGAGAGAACGAAAAGUUCGAUCUUGCAAUAAACAAGUCACCACAGUGGUGUUUUCUUUAUGCAAUCCUAUGGUAAUGCUUUCAUUUCACAAGGAAAGAUAACGAGAUUCACAAAAGCUAAAUCUAAUCUCCAUUCUUUUGUUAUGAUAUGAUAAAGUCCGACCAACAUUAUUACCUACCAAUUACUUUCUAAUUCAUUUUUCUCCUCCAAUAAUGAUACAUGAGAAACUAAAAUUAUAAGAUAAAUGCAUUACACGGCAAACAAGUCGGACCGGCCAAUGAAGAACGAAACUUAGGUGCAACCAGAUGCCCGAAUACUGUGAAUAUUGUAGACCUUACAUGUUUUUAUCAAUGAUCUUUGAACCCAAGACAAUAAAUGUAUGUGAAAACAACAUGUGGAAAUAAGAAUGGCACAUAUGAGGGCUAUCUAGGUCUUGCACGUUUUAGGUUUUUUGAAUUUGAAUCAAGCCUACCAGUCUAAAGUCAGACUAUAACUUCCCUUAACCAGCUAGUCUAGUUGAUUAAUCAAAUAUUUCUAUGUAAUAACCGCAUUGUUUACCUCAAAACCCUAGGAAAGAUCCUUUCUAGACAAUACACAUCUAUGGAAAGCCUUCUAUUUUCUCUCUCGUUUAGUACACACAUCUUUAAAUUUGUGGUGAUAUAACGCGGCGUCAUCGCGAAAUGUUGUUGGAGGAAAAUUGUUUCCUAAUACAAUGUAGAA